GUUAUUCCAGAAAAGUUUGUGCUUCAGUCCUGUUCUGCUGCAGUCUCUAACGUGAAGUUGGAGCAUAAGUAUAUGCAAUCCAGAGACGCUCAUGGAGAAGUGUGACAAUGUUGCAUUCAGGUGAAUAUUCAGUGAUCCUUCUGUAUGAGCUAAAUGUUGAUAUACCUUUUUGAGAGAACAAGUUUACAGACAUCGGAUCAGAAUUUGAUCAUUGUUAUAGUUCAAACCCCAAUACGUAUGUAGCUUGUCAGCAGUCCAUUUCAACGCGGAACAGAAUAGUUGUAGAUUCCAGUUUCUCAGUCAUGCUUUUGUAUCCAGACCUAAAUGAAGCAGACCCCUGUAUUAACCAAAGAAGAGUGCAUUCUUCUCGAAAACACAAAAGGAUAAUGUAUGUUUGAUCCUCUGAAGGAAUUGUGCUGCAUAUCUAAUACAGACCUUCAGUUUUCA